GUGUCAGCAGCCGCGGUAACACGGGGGGAGCAAACGUUGUUCGGAAUUACUGGGCGUAAAGGGCGCGUAGGCGGCCUCGUAAGUGGUGUGUGAAAUGUCCUGGCUCAACCAGGGAAUUGCGCUCCAAACUGCGGGGCUUGAGGGCAGUAGAGGAAGCUGGAAUUCCAGGUGUAGCGGUGAAAUGCGUAGAUAUCUGGAGGAACACCAUUGGCGAAGGCGAGCUUCUGGGCUGUCCCUGACGCUGAUGCGCGAAAGCUGGGGGAGCAAACAGGAUUAGAAACCCCCGUAGUCC
rnacentral:rRNA from 1 species